rnacentral:rRNA from 1 species
UACGUAGUUGGCAAUCUUUUUCCUUAUUUAUUUUUCUUAAAUAUCGUUUAUUCGGCCAUACAGGUCCGUUGUGAAAACUCGAGGCUCAACCUCGAGACGUCGAUGGAAACCGUAUGGCUAGAGUCCGGAAGAGGAGAGUGGAAUUCCUGGUGUAGCGGUGAAAUGCGCAGAUAUCAGGAAGAACACCCGUGGCGAAGGCGGCUCUCUGGGACGGUACUGACGCUGAGACGCGAAAGCGUGGGGAGCGAACAGG